GUAGUCUCGCACAGAUGCAUAUCAAUAAGCGGAGGAAAAGAAACUAACAAGGAUUCCCUUAGUAACGGCGAGUGAAGCGGGAAGAGCUCAAAUUUGAAAUCUUCAAGGUUUUACCUUGACGAAUUGUAGUUUAAAGAAGUGUUUUCUGUUGAGGUUUUGGUAAAAGUUCUUUGGAAUAGGACAUCAUAGAGGGUGAGAAUCCCGUAUUUGACCAUUAUUUUCAGCUGUGUGAUACACUUUCAAAGAGUCGGAUUGUUUGGGAAUGCAGUCCAAAAUGGGUGGUAAAUUUCAUCUAAAGCUAAAUAUUGGCGAGAGACCGAUAGCGAACAAGUACCGUGAGGGAAAGAUGAAAAGAACUUUGAAAAGAGAGUUAAACAGUACGUGAAAUUGUCAAAAGGGAAGCGUUUGACACCAGUGUUGUUUUCUCGAAAAUCAAUUAAAAAGAGUUUAGAUUUUGUUGUGUAUUGACCUUAACAGCUUGCAUUUCAAUUUUCUUGCUUUUUUUAAUGCACUUUUCGUUUAACAAGUCAACAUCAGUUUCUUUUGUUGUAAAAAGGUCAUUGGAAGGUGGCUUUCUUUUCGGAGAAAGUGUUUAUAGCCUUUGACUCCUGCAAUCGGAGAGACUGAGGUCUGCAGCGUAGAUCCUUCGGGGUUAGAUACAUUUGUGUUAAGUUAUAGCUUUUUAUAGACAACUUGUUGACUAUGAUUAGUCUUGUAGCUUACUCGCUUAUGCUAUUUUACCUACGCUUAGGAUGUUGAGCGCAUGUCUCUCUCU
rnacentral:rRNA from 1 species